GAAUUGGGAAAAUUUAGAUUGCAAUUAUAAAAUUAAAGCUACAAUAAUUUCAUGAAUUUGUCAUCAUGAAAACAAAACCAAAAGGUAAUACAGUUAACUGUGAAAGUAAUUUUUAGUGUUUCGCAGCUUCUACAAUUCAAUACCAUGCUCAAAUUCAUACCCUUACACAGUAGAUAUAUUAGUUGAAUUGUCUUCUAUCCAGGAUGUGAACUUCAACAACAUAAAAAGAAGAAGAAGAAGAAGA
rnacentral:misc_RNA from 1 species